UUAUUAAACAAGGCAGUUGAGUAGUUAACAUCCAAGCAUGCUUAUGCCAUGUUUAGACAUGAUGAAAAAGGCCCAGAUGAUGCUGUCUUUGUAUCAGCAGUUAAUAAUAUGUGCUCUUAGAUCUAUGGAGAAGACUUCAGUAAACAAAUGAAGAAACUGAUGCCAAAUGCAGACCUUUCAUGACUGCAGUGCUUCUGCAUUAGUGAAAUAUGUAUGCAAAACAUUGAAGAGCAAGUUUUCCAAAUGUAACUGUCCUUAACUACAGAGGGGGAUACAUAUUAGGUAUAUUAUGGUAAGGGUCAGAUAGUGUAUAAAUCCCUCAAUGCAAUAGAUGUUGGGGUUUGCUUUAGUUUGUCACCUGUUUUUGAUUCUAGUACCUUGAACCACAUCAGUUUGACAAGACUGUUAUUUAUUAACACAUAGCAGCAGCAAAGCAGCUCAGAUCAGGAAACGGGCAUGCUCUGGAAGAGACUCGCCGUCAAAGAAGACAAGGCAACGGCAAGGCAAGCCCAGGGGGAGGUGUGGUGGUCGACGCAGAGCCUCAGCUACAGUGUCACAGCCUCCAACUGAGUGCUCCCUGUCAUCCAGCGUGGAACAUCUGCCUAGUUUACCCUCAGCAAGUCCUUUGAUGACAUUUGAAAAAUAUGGAGAGGCUCUCUGCUAUUUUAGCAUCAUGCCAUUCUGGUGAGCCUCAAAAAUGUUCAGCAACAUCCUGGUCUUGUCAUCAGCAGAAAGCCUCAGAGACCACACAACCUCCAAUGCCUCAUAGAGAAAGAGGCUGUUGGUCAUCCUCUGUGCUGCCUCUGCAAUGAGCCUGCUGUCAUUCGCUCUGAUGACCCUGCCUUUUUUGAGGGCCUCUUUGUGGCAAAAGACAGUGAAGUCUCCACAUUUACCGAGACCAUCCAAAAAAUGCAAGUAUUAUUGAUAAUGUGACAAAAUAGCUGUAUUACUGAAAUAUUACCGAAACUGAAUUGAGAGAAACACUGGCCUAUAUAGCAGACCCAAUUGCAUUCAUUUUACUGUGUUCAGCAAACAUCACGAUAAAGAAGAGACUGUACGACCAGGUGAUGCUAACAAUGCGACUGCAAGAGGAGAAGAACAUUUUGGUGCUGGAGAUGGCACAACAUUGCACAUGGUUGCAGAAGCAGGCAGAGGAGCUUGAGAACAAGGUGGCUGAGAAUGAACAGGGCAACAAAGGACUUUGCUGUCUCUUAGGUCCUGAGGCUUCUGCCCAUCUUCAUGUUGAGGACGAGGAUCAAAGUGCCCUCAGCAGUCCAGACACUAGUGACGACGAAGAGGAUAUCACAAUUUAGAUUGAUGCUGCAGGACAGACUGUGGUGAAGGACAUGGACUUGGAUCUGCCUGCCUCCCACUCUACACCUGCCCUGCUGCUGCAAUCAAGCCACCUGGUUUCCGCCAGCUCAUUACCAAAUCUGCACUUAUGGUGCAUUCCAGACAACCUAUCUCGUUUUCUAUUUCAUAUGUGGUCAACAUGCACCGUAUCCAUGGGUUUCGUAUGACGUCACACAGUGGUCAUGGCGCCAUCUUUCGGACCAAACGUCAACCUGUCAUCUAUAUUCUGUAUAUAUGUUUCAUCAAUAUACAGUCUCAUCUUCAUGUACUGUAAUCCAGGGGUGUGUUGACACCAAUAUUAAAUAAUAGGUUCACUAGAUCACAACAUGUUGUUUCAAAUAUUAUGUUGACAUUACUGAUGAAACUUAGUCAGCUAAACUAAGUUUAAUUGUCAAUUUUUCUGACAUGACUAGUUGCAGUCAGACUCAAACCCCACUUCUUUCCAGGAAAAGGGAGAUAACAGCAGCAAAUCUACUCUUUAUUUUGAGAGUAGUAAUGGGAGAGAGUACUUCCUGUGAUUUCUUGUAAAGUGAAAGCCUUUCACUUCUGGUUACUUCUGCUUUUGGUCACUGUCUUCAAUAAAAC